UCUUCGACGUCUGCGCUCGGUGCUACCGCUUCCGGGACGAUUCGAGGGCACGUGUUCCGGUGUCGGCCAGGAACUCAAACUCGAGCAGGAAUCUCCGACGUCGCUGACUACGCUAUCUCUACCACCGUUACCGGAUCCGGCAGUACUACCUCCACCAGGACCCGGUCCACCGACGCCUGCUGAUCGACCCCUGCUGCUCAGUCCACCGAACAAGCUAAUGUCACCCAAGGGUAGUUGUGUAGUGAGCUAAGCUACCUUUCACCAUGCCAUUUAAAGUGUGCCAAAGAAGAAGUAGGUUAACACUUACGAGGUUACCAACCUAAAGUCGCUAUCAGCUACAAUGGAACAAUUAUGAUCAAGAUCUUCGCUAUCAUCUCCAGAAGUAUGUCCGCUUUGGUUGUCGUGCCGAUGAAUGACCACCACUUCCUCAUCCUCGGAAUCGACAGCGACUCCGUCGCAAGAUCUCUCGACCUCCGCAUCGCUAUCCUGCGACGAGGUCGGCGAAUCGUCUAUCAUCACAUCGUGAACAAGCCUAAUUUCAAGAAUAACAAUUUGGAAAAUUAAUUCAUCGUUCAGUGCACAAAAAUUGAUAGAAAUUUUUCAACAACGAAAUCAAUUACGUCGUGUUUUAACAUGUUUUCCGUGAAAGCAUUUUAAAAAUCGAACGGAUCAAAGUUAACACGUACGAAUUAUCAUAAGAUGCCUCGUCAUAGUCAAGAAAUAAUCGAAUCUUAUUAACAGAUACGAAAAGGAAAACGGAUUGCUCACGUGUAAUUGGAGAGCGGUGCCUUGAGAUGCUGCGGAAGUCUUUCAAAGUAAUGUCGAAAUUCCUCGAACUCGGUGUCGGCCAUUCUGCGGCGAACCAAUGAAAAAC